rnacentral:rRNA from 1 species
GUACAACGCUGGCGGCGUGCCUAAUACAUGCAAGUCGAGCGAACGGACGAGAAGCUUGCUUCUCUGAUGUUAGCGGCGGACGGGUGAGUAACACGUGGAUAACCUACCUAUAAGACUGGGAUAACUUCGGGAAACCGGAGCUAAUACCGGAUAAUAUUUUGAACCGCAUGGUUCAAAAGUGAAAGACGGUCUUGCUGUCACUUAUAGAUGGAUCCGCGCUGCAUUAGCUAGUUGGUAAGGUAACGGCUUACCAAGGCAACGAUGCAUAGCCGACCUGAGAGGGUGAUCGGCCACACUGGAACUGAGACACGGUCCAGACUCCUACGGGAGGCAGCAGUAGGGAAUCUUCCGCAAUGGGCGAAAGCCUGACGGAGCAACGCCGCGUGAGUGAUGAAGGCCUUCGGAUCGUAAAACUCUGUUAUUAGGGAAGAACAUAUGUGUAAGUAACUGUGCACAUCUUGACGGUACCUAAUCAGAAAGCCACGGCUAACUACGUGCCAGCAGCCGCGGUAAUACGUAGGUGGCAAGCGUUAUCCGGAAUUAUUGGGCGUAAAGCGCGCGUAGGCGGUUUUUUAAGUCUGAUGUGAAAGCCCACGGCUCAACCGUGGAGGGUCAUUGGAAACUGGAAAACUUGAGUGCAGAAGAGGAAAGUGGAAUUCCAUGUGUAGCGGUGAAAUGCGCAGAGAUAUGGAGGAACACCAGUGGCGAAGGCGACUUUCUGGUCUGUAACUGACGCUGAUGUGCGAAAGCGUGGGGAUCAAACAGGAUUAGAUACCCUGGUAGUCCACGCCGUAAACGAUGAGUGCUAAGUGUUAGGGGGUUUCCGCCCCUUAGUGCUGCAGCUAACGCAUUAAGCACUCCGCCUGGGGAGUACGACCGCAAGGUUGAAACUCAAAGGAAUUGACGGGGACCCGCACAAGCGGUGGAGCAUGUGGUUUAAUUCGAAGCAACGCGAAGAACCUUACCAAAUCUUGACAUCCUUUGACAACUCUAGAGAUAGAGCCUUCCCCUUCGGGGGACAAAGUGACAGGUGGUGCAUGGUUGUCGUCAGCUCGUGUCGUGAGAUGUUGGGUUAAGUCCCGCAACGAGCGCAACCCUUAAGCUUAGUUGCCAUCAUUAAGUUGGGCACUCUAAGUUGACUGCCGGUGACAAACCGGAGGAAGGUGGGGAUGACGUCAAAUCAUCAUGCCCCUUAUGAUUUGGGCUACACACGUGCUACAAUGGACAAUACAAAGGGCAGCGAAACCGCGAGGUCAAGCAAAUCCCAUAAAGUUGUUCUCAGUUCGGAUUGUAGUCUGCAACUCGACUACAUGAAGCUGGAAUCGCUAGUAAUCGUAGAUCAGCAUGCUACGGUGAAUACGUUCCCGGGUCU